AGCUGCCUAUUUGAGCUUAACCAAUGUAAAAGUGAAAUAGCUCUAGAAAAGAGUGGGGUUAUUCCGGCCGUAAAGCUGCAUUUAAGAACAAGUAUGCAAAUAUUAAACAGCAUAAUAUACACACAAUAUAAACCAGAAGUAUGCACUUCUCUGCAAACCUGUAUAUUGAAUAUGUCACAUAUAUAACUACAACAAUUCCUGUGAAAUACAACAAAUAUUGAAGAAGAAAAAAACAAACCACAUAUUCAGUAAACUACAGAUCUUGCACAAAUUGGUACUGUGUGCAAAAGUUAAUUAAUCGAACUUUGCCUAUAUAACAAACUCCAAUUAUCACAUCCAGAGAGGAUCUAUUAUGGGACAUACCAGUUCAUAGACUGCAACCAACUGCAACCAAAUAUACAUAAUAUACACGCUGUNNNNNNNNNNNNNNNNNNNNNNNNNGUACAUUUUUGUUCCUGAAAAACUCUAAAAAUCAGGAUGUAUAAAAGCUGUUUAGAGAGGCUACCAGAUGCCGUUUCUACUUAAAUUAGCCAUAUUCUAAUUGUUUGGGCCUGUAAAGUUGCAACACUCGGGCAAAAAAAAAAAGUACUCUUUAGUGAUCUAGCUUAGCAUUUGAGCUGCCUAUUUGAGCUUAACCAAUGUAAAAGUGAAAUAGCUCUAGAAAAGAGUGGGGUUAUUCCGGCCGUAAAGCUGCAUUUAAGAACAAGUAUGCAAAUAUUAAACAGCAUAAUAUACACACAAUAUAAACCAGAAGUAUGCACUUCUCUGCAAACCUGUAUAUUGAAUAUGUCACAUAUAUAACUACAACAAUUCCUGUGAAAUACAACAAAUAUUGAAGAAGAAAAAAACAAACCACAUAUUCAGUAAACUACAGAUCUUGCACAAAUUGGUACUGUGUGCAAAAGUUAAUUAAUCGAACUUUGCCUAUAUAACAAACUCCAAUUAUCACAUCCAGAGAGGAUCUAUUAUGGGACAUACCAGUUCAUAGACUGCAACCAACUGCAACCAAAUAUACAUAAUAUACACGCUGUGUUCUAUAAACCCCUGGAGCCAGGAAGGUUGAUCCACUGAAGUUGAAGUUCGACCUCGCCACAUUCCACAUUUCUCAAUCUUAGGCACAUAUCUUGCACAACCUGACCAUCUUUCCAUACCAC
rnacentral:lncRNA from 1 species